rnacentral:rRNA from 1 species
UACGUAGGCAGCAAGCGUUGUUCGGAGUUACUGGGCGUAAAGGGUGUGUAGGCGGUUCUUUAAGUUUGGUGUGAAAUCUCCCGGCUCAACUGGGAGGGUGCGCCGAAUACUGAGGGACUAGAGUACGGGAGAGGAAAGUGGAAUUCCUGGUGUAGCGGUGAAAUGCGUAGAUAUCAGGAGGAACACCGGUGGUGUAGACGGCUUUCUGGACCGACACUGACGCUGAGGCGCGAAAGCUAGGGAGCAAACGGG